AGCGAACGCUGGCGGCAGGCUUAACACAUGCAAGUCGAACGGUCCUUCGGGAUAGUGGCGGACGGGUGAGUAACACGUGGGAACGUACCCUUAGGUUCGGAACAACACAGGGAAACUUGUGCUAAUACCGGAUAAGCCCUUCGGGGGGAAAGAUUUAUCGCCUUUGGAGCGGCCCGCGUCUGAUUUGCUUGUUGGUGAGGUAAUGGCUCACCAAGGCUACGAUCAGAAGCUGGUCUGAGAGGAUGGCCAGCCACACUGGGACUGAGACACGGCCCAGACUCCUACGGGAGGCAGCAGUGGGGAAUCUUGCGCAAUGGGCGAAAGCCUGACGCAGCCAUGCCGCGUGGAUGAUGAAGGUCUUAGGAUUGUAAAAUCCUUUCACCGGGGACGAUAAUGACGGUACCCGGAGAAGAAGCCCCGGCUAACUUCGUGCCAGCCGCCGCGGUAA
rnacentral:rRNA from 1 species